rnacentral:rRNA from 1 species
GACGAACCGUGCGAACGUUAUUCGGAAUCAUUGGGCUUAAAGAGCGCGUAGGCGGCGACGUAAGUUGGAAGUGAAAUCCCAUCGGCUCAACCGUGGAAUCGCUCCCAGUACUGCGUUGCUCGAGGGAGAUAGGGGCCUGUGGAACUGCCGGGUGGAGCGGUGAAAUGUGUUGAUAUCGGCGGGAACGCCAGUGGCGAAAGCGACAGGCUGGACCUUUCUGACGCUGAGGCGCGAAAGCUAGGGGAGCAAACGGG